rnacentral:rRNA from 1 species
GUGAGGAAUUUUCCGCAAUGGGCGAAAGCCUGACGGAGCAAUGCCGCGUGAAGGAUGAAGGCCUAUGGGUUGUAAACUUCUUUUCUCAGAAAAGAAUUAUGACGGUAUCUGAGGAAUAAGCAUCGGCUAACUCUGUGCCAGCAGCCGCGGUAAGACAGAGGAUGCAAGCGUUAUCCGGAAUGAUUGGGCGUAAAGCGUCUGUAGGUUGUUUAAAAAGUAUUCUGUAAAAGAUUAGGGCUUAACCCUAGAUAGGCAGAAUAAACUUUUAAGCUAGAAUUUGGUAGAGGCAGAGUGAAUUCCCGGUGGAGCGGCGAAAUGCGUAGAUAACGGGAGGAACACCAAAGGCGAAGGCACUCUGCUGGGCCAAUACUAACACUGAGGGACGAAAGCGAGGGGAGCAAAUGGGAUUAGAAACCCCAGUAGUCC